GUAGUUACAGUGGCAAUUCACUGUGCCCUUGGAAUCCAACACCAUUCUACAUGGGCUCUCAUCCCACUGCCUCCUCUCCGAAUGCCAGCCAACACAGUGGCUGACAGUGCUCUGGGAUUUAUUGAUCUUUUCAAAGGCAUGGAGAGGUUGAAACUGUUCUUGGAGGUGUUGUGAUGGAUGCGAGCACCUUUGGUCUGAAUGAAGAGUUCAUUGACAAUGCUCUCGGAUUCACCCUGGACUUGGAGUUUCUUGGCAAAGGAGUUCACUGACUGCAACAAAUCUGAGCUGGCAUUUUUAUUGGGAAUGAAAGCCCAAUUUGAAAUGGCAGCCUUGCUAAGGAUGUGGUUGGCCAUUUUUCCAUAGUUCUGCAAUGAAAACAAGCCUGUUAGUAUAAAAAAAAAGCCAAUUUCUAAAAUCCUAAACUUUGGCAUAUCUAAUAAUUAUUUCAUCUCAUUUUGA